GCCUGAUGCAGCAACGCCGCGUGAGGGAUGACGGCCUAAGGGUUGUAAACCUCUUUUAGCAGGGAAGAAGCGAAAGUGACGGUACCUGCAGAAAAAGCGCCGGCUAACUACGUGCCAGCAGCCGCGGUAAUACGUAGGGCGCAAGCGUUAUCCGGAAUUAUUGGGCGUAAAGAGCUCGUAGGCGGUUUGUCGCGUCUGCUGUGAAAUCCCGAGGCUCAACCUCGGGUCUGCAGUGGGUACGGGCAGACUAGAGUGCGGUAGGGGAGAUUGGAAUUCCUGGUGUAGCGGUGGAAUGCGCAGAUAUCAGGAGGAACACCGAUGGCGAAGGCAGAUCUCUGGGCCGUAACUGACGCUGAGGAGCGAAAGGGUGGGGAGCAAACAGGCUUAGAUACCCUGGUAGUCCACCCCGUAAACGUUGGGAACUAGUUGUGGGGUCCAUUCCACGGAUUCCGUGACGCAGCUAACGCAUUAAGUUCCCCGCCUGGGGAGUACGGCCGCAAGGCUAAAACUCAAAGGAAUUGACGGGGACCCGCACAAGCGGCGGAGCAUGCGGAUUAAUUCGAUGCAACGCGAAGAACCUUACCAAGGCUUGACAUAUACGAGAACGGGCCAGAAAUGGUCAACUCUUUGGACACUC
rnacentral:rRNA from 1 species